AAUGCGCGAAAGCGUGACGGAGCAAUGCCGCGUGCAGGAUGAAGCCUCUCGGGGUGUAAACUGCUGUCAGGGGUCAGAAACACAAUGAUCAACCCCAAAGGAAGAGCCGGCUAACUCUGUGCCAGCAGCCGCGGUAAUACAGAGGGCUCAAGCGUUAAUCGGUGUCACUGGGCUUAAAGGGUGCGUAGGCGGGCCUGCAAGUGCUUUGUGAAAUCCCACGGCUCAACCGUGGAAUGGCUUGGCAGACUGCAGGUCUUGAGGUUGGUAGGGGCUGUCGGAACUCUAGGUGUAGCGGUGAAAUGCGUAGAUAUCUAGAGGAACACCAAAGGUGAAGACAGGCAGCUGGGCCAAUCCUGACGCUGAGGCACGAAAGCGUGGGUAGCGAACGGGAUU
rnacentral:rRNA from 1 species